rnacentral:rRNA from 1 species
AGAAUCCUUGUGGCCGAAUAUCCAAGGUCUCCAGGGUAAAGCUGAUCUGCCCUGGGAAAGUCGGGACCUAAGGUGAGGCUGAAAAGCGUAGCCGAUGGACAACAGGUUGAUAUUCCUAUACCGCAUGGUAACAGAACUGUGGGGACACGGGAGGGAAACAUGGGCCGGAAAUGGAAAGUCCGGUACGAACGGGGUAGUCGCACAGCAGGCAAAUCCGCUGUGCAUGAGACGAAGCCGUGAUGUGGAGCGAACUAAAGUAGUGAAGCAUGUGCCCCCUCCUGUCGAGAAAAGCCGCUAUUGUUUGCCAUGCGCCCGUACCGUAAACCGACACAGGUGGAUGAGGAGAGAAUCCUAAGGCCGGCGGGAGAAGCAUUGUCAAGGAACUCGGCAAAAUGACCCCGUAACUUCGGGAGAAGGGGUGCCCACGCAAGUGGGCCGCAGAGAAUAGGCUCAAGCAACUGUUUAGCAAAAACACAGGUCUAUGCGAAACCGUAAGGUGAUGUAUAUGGGCUGACGCCUGCCCGGUGCUGGAAGGUUAAGAGGAGAGGUUAGCGCAAGCGAAGCUUUGAAUCCAAGCCCCAGUAAACGGCGGCCGUAACAAUAACGGUCCUAAGGUAGCGAAAUUCCUUGUCGGGUAAGUUCCGACCCGCACGAAAGGCGUAAUGAUUUGAGCGCUGUCUCGACAAUGCACCCGGUGAAAUUGAAGUACCAGUGAAGAUGCUGGUUACCCGCGCCAGGACGGAAAGACCCCAUGGAGCUUUACUCCAGUUUGGUACUGGAGCUUGGUAUUGCAUGUACAGGAUAGGUGGAAGCCUGCGAAUCAGGGACGCCAGUCUCUGAGGAGGCGCUGCUGGGAUACCACCCUUGCAAUAUCGGGUUUCUAACCAGCCGCCGUGAUCCGGCGGUGGGACAAUGCCAGGCGGGGAGUUUGACUGGGGCGGUCGCCUCCGAAAGGGUAUCGGAGGCGCUCAAAGUUUCCCUCAUAAUGGUCGGAAACCAUUAGAAGAGUGCAAAGGCAGAAGGGAGGCUGACUGCGACACCGACGGGUGGAGCAGGUACGAAUGUAGGACUUAGUGAUCCGGUGGCAUAAAGUGGGAUUGCCAUCGCUCAACGGAUAAAAGCUACCCUGGGAUAACAGGCUUAUCACUCCCAAGAGUUCACAUCGACGGAGUGGUUUGGCACCUCGAUGUCGGCUCAUCGCAUCCUGGGGCUGUAGCAGGUCCCAAGGGUUGGGCUGUUCGCCCAUUAAAGCGGUACGCGAGCUGGGUUCAGAACGUCGUGAGACAGUUCGGUCCCUAUCCGGCGCGGGCGUAGGAUAUCUGAGGGGAGCUGGCCUUAGUACGAGAGGACCGGGCUGGACGGACCACUGGUGUACCGGCUGUCAUGCCAAUGGCAUCGCCGGGUAGCCAAGUCCGGAAGGAAUAAACGCUGAAGGCGUCUAAGCGUGAAGUCCCCCCCAAGAUGAGAUAUCCGAUCCUUAUAAAGGAGUAAAAACCCUUGAAGAGUACGAGGUAGAUAGGGCAGAGGUGGAAGUGUGGCAACACAUGGAGCUGACUGUUACUAAUCGUUUGAGGGCUUGACCG